rnacentral:rRNA from 1 species
CGAAAGCCUGACGGAGCAACGCCGCGUGAGGGAUGAAGGCCUCUGGGCUGUAAACCUCUUUUAUCAAGGAAGAAGAUCUGACGGUACUUGAUGAAUAAGCAUCGGCUAACUCCGUGCCAGCAGCCGCGGUAAUACGGGGGAUGCAAGCGUUAUCCGGAAUCAUUGGGCGUAAAGCGCCUGUAGGUUGUUUAAUAAGUCUGUUGUUAAAGACUAGGGCUCAACCCUAGAAAAGCAAUGGAAACUACUAGACUAGAGUGUGGCAGGGGUAGAGGGAAUUUCUAGUGUAGCGGUGAAAUGCGUAGAUAUUAGAAAGAACACCGGUGGCGAAAGCGCUCUACUGGACCAUUACUGACACUCAGAGGCGAAAGCUAGGGUAGCAAAAG